UUCUAAUCCUUUGCUGCUGUUGUCACUAUCAAACAACUGACAGAAAAUCCAAAUAAAUUCCAUAAAAAUCUAUUACCUCAGGGUACAUUUUUCACCUCUACAAUACAAUUAAAACAACAGAGUCUGCUUGACUUACCAAAGUAGAUCUCAGUGACUCACCUGAGCUGCUGGACCCUCCUUACAGGUGAGCUGCUCUGGGUCCUAGUGCCCUCUAAUACACAACGUUCAAUCAGAACUGCUUUAAUUUAAACAAACAAACAAAAACUGUUGUUAGCUGUGUAGUAGUGUUGGAGGUAGGCCUGUGGUGAUACAGCUUGUUGUCUUUAUUCUAGUGUUUGUCCGCUAAGUGGCGCUAAAAACACCAGCGUGUCCACGUGACUCCCUCAGUAUGCAAACCAGUCUUUUGUUUGCUUCACGUUAAAUGUGAACUUAUAAAAACAGUGCAGGUCCAGAAAUGACGUGAAGCUGUAUAUAUGUAAGAGCCAACAUGUCCGAGAAACGCAGGGCGCUUCCUGUGUGGAUGGAGAAGAAACAGAAGAAAGUGAAAGAGCCGCUGAAAAGCAAGAGGAAGCGAAAAACUGCGAGGUCUGCUUUCUACUGUAUGAACGAGGAAGAGCUGCUGGAAGCGGCUGUUUCGUGUCUUACCAGCGGGGACUGUGAGGAUGCGGCGCUGCGGACUGACCAACAGGUGGCGCUGCUUCUUUGUUUUUAUCUGCCAAUGUUUUCAUGCUGAAUAAGGAAAUGAAAGCUUGCCAUUUACGAUGUGUCUGUGUCGGAAUUUAAGUGCAGUCCAAAAAAGGGAUUUCAGUCCAGAAAAGCAAUUAUCCUCAUGUCUCUGCAUAAUAUUACGGGUCAAUAUAUAAUUCAGGGACUUUUUAAGUUCAUGGGAUAAAUCUUCCAUACGUUUUUAUCAAACGUUUAAAAAAAGUGUUUUGUGCUCAUUGUGAUCGUGUCUUUACAAAUUCUGUAAUUAUUUAUUAUUGGAACAAUCACUUAUUAAUAAAAAAAAAAGAUUGGAUAUCACUAAAAUAUCAAUUAAAUAACUGUCCGAAUGUAAGAAAAAACACCAAAUUCGAUAAACAAUAAUAAAAUGAGCUUAUUCAGAAAUUGUUCUGAUUGUGUUUUUUGUAUUAAACUGGGAUAAUCAUGACAGGUAUUUCUUUUUCUUUUUUUUGGAAUAUCGAUAAUAACAAAUUGUCUGUGUCCAAGAAAUCCCUUUCAGUUAGCUAAGCCAAUUACAAAAACUCCCAAUGUUAACUCCAAAUCACAUGACCCAAGGCUUUCUGAGUUAUUUAAAGUAGUGUUUGAGUCAACUGUGGAUGUAUUGCAUGGCAGCAGGUUUACUACAACAUCUUUAUAAAUAACUUUCUGUUUCAAUUUUACUCAAUUCUAUAUGUAAUAUUUUAGAAGAAUCUUUCUGUAAAAACGCAGUGUUUGGUUGUAGUUAUUAUAUGUUGAUCUUAGGCCUGAAAACAACAAAAAUAUCGACUAUGAUACCUGUCCACUAUCUUACAAAAAGUCCCGUAAUUAUAUAUUGACCCUCUGUGUUCUACAUGAACCAUUUUAAUCUUCUUAAAUCAGUUAAAUAGCUUUAAAGGACCAGUUCAAGUCAUAUAAUGUCAUUUUGUGCUUGCCAAAAAGUGACUGCAUCAGUAACAUUGUGAUUGAAAUGUUGUUAAUGCACCAAAAUGACUUGAUUGCAUUCACGAGUCAUAUGUUAGUGAUAGAACCUAUAGGACAAUCGCACAAGGAUGGAUUCUUUAUUGUCUAUAUGAAACAAAUCCAUUCAUCAUGUCAGUCUUAACAAGGAUAUCAGUCAUACCAAAUAUCAGAGAUAACACUAUAAAUUGGUCCUUAUAUGCUUCUGAAAAUAAAGUAUUUAUGAUUGCCUUUUGCUAAAAUUAAUUUCACAGAAGUCCACUGUAGUUCUUGCCUACAUUAUUAGAUAUAUCUAAUAUUCUAUACUAGUUCAAAAUAAAAAUUCAGCUUGUAAUAUUGCAUUAAAUUCCAUUCAUUAUUUUUAACACACUGAAAUAAGUAGUUGUUCCAACACACAUCUCCACAACAGGAGGGACGUCAUAAAACUCUUAAAUGAUCAUGGGCAGAUAAACAGUAAUCUAGAAACUACAAGUCCGUAACAAUGUGGACAUCUGUGAUGCACAGGCAGUGAGGCUGUUGAUGCUUAUUCUUUAAAUGUUGUCCCACUCUUCCAGGGGAUUUUUGGGCAGCAGGGUCCAUCCAGGUCAUCAUGUGGUGGAUUAUCUGUCGCAGACAAACGCUGGAGCUGUUGACAUUCUGACAUACCAGACUCCUGCACUGGUUUCCCAUCUUUCUCUUGUCAUCUGCUGCAUCGCGUCAUGUGAACAAAGCUGCAUUUUAAGGCGGCUUUUUAUAGUCGCUAGUCAAAGGUUGAACAAAAGGCAGUGGACACCGUAAAGAAGAAAAGGAAACCUGCGAUUUCACACAUGACAGCAAAGCGUGGUCAUUUAAAAGAGGAGUCCUCAGACGGCGGCGAUGACCCGGACAUGACGUAUGUUUCAGAAACAGACUUGGACAUCACAGAGGUGGAGAUGGUACCGUACACCACGAGUCCACAGCAUCCUGGAUCUACGGGUCAGAGGUCAGAACCGGUUCAGGAUCACACUGAUCUGGAUGCUGAGAAAAGAAAGGAGCAGCCUCAGGAAGACGAUGCCUUACGUCUGGUCCGGGAAAUUUUCUUCACUUGAUGAUUGACUUUAUGAAUGUGUGCAGUUAGUGUGUUGUGCUAAAUAAAGAACUCUUUGACACUGACGUCAGAGGCACGUAAAAUAUGAUCAAGAUCCACAGGAGGAGGACAUGAAGAGUGACACCAAUAAUUCACCAACACUUUUGUAUUAAUAAAAGGUUUAAAUGCUU